GAUGAACGCUGGCGGCGUGCCUAAUACAUGCAAGUCGAGCGAACGGACGAGAAGCUUGCUUCUCUGAUGUUAGCGGCGGACGGGUGAGUAACACGUGUAUAACCUACCUAUAAGACUGGGAUAACUUCGGGAAACCGGAGCUAAUACCGGAUAAUAUUUUGAACCGCAUGGUUCAAAAGUGAAAGACGGUCUUGCUGUCACUUAUAGCUGGAUCCGCGCUGCAUUAGCUAGUUGGUAAGGUAACGGCUUACCAAGGCAACGAUGCAUAGCCGACCUGAGAGGGUGAUCGGCCACCCUGGAACUGAGACACGGUCCAGACUCCUACGGGACGCCGCAGUAGGGUAUCUUACGCAAUGGGCGAAAGCCUGGCGGAGCAGCGCCGCGUCAGUGAUGAAGGUCUUCCGAUCGUAAUACUCUGUUAUUAGGGAAGAACAUAUGUGUACGUAACUGUGCACAUCUUGACGGUACCUAAUCAGAAAGCCACGGCUAACUACGUG
rnacentral:rRNA from 1 species